CUUCUUCUUUAAGCUUGAGCCAAACCGCUCGAGGUUUCAUUCUAGGAGCGAGAGGGGCUUGUGCUGGCAAACACAUGUGAGAGCAAAACAAAUACCGGCUACAGAAACUAGCCACUGUCCUGCUGUUGUUCCACGUGCUUCCGAAAACCCGGAGCCUCUCCAGCCUUUCCCGUCUCGGCUCCUUUCUGGCUUAGGACGGAUGCCGUAUGGAGCAGAUGUCCGGACUUAAGCCUACCGGCAAGUAGCAUCCGCAAGAUAAGCUACGGCCCGGCUUUUUUGCCGUAACUCUGGCGCAGGUCACGGCAGCACGAGGCCUUGGCCUGUCCGUGCCGCGGAGGAGCUGUGCGCUGCUCCCUCUUCCCGGGCUGUUCCCAGCGCGGGAAUAUCCUGCCAACGCGGGACCCUCCGGCCGGAGCACCGCACUCCCCAGCCUCCGCUGCGGACCGGCACCUUUGCCGUCAGCCGCCUCCCCCCGCUUGGAGUAAGUACG
rnacentral:lncRNA from 1 species